CCCACCUCCACAGCCCCCCGCUGUAGAAGGAGGUGCCGAGGGUCCGCUGUGACCACGCUGGCUCCCUGCAGCUACUGGCUGGUAUUGCCCUGAGGCGCUGGCCAACCCUGGGGACCCAGGAGCUUUGGGGUUGGCACGUCCCUUCUGUGAUCCCGCCAACACAGCGCUGGGCCCUCGGGCUUACACCUCCGGGUUUCUUUGCAGCCCUGGGCGAGUGGCUCCCCAGGCCUCAGUUUCCCUUACCUGUCAUAUGGGGGUGCAGGUGCCCACCCCAGCCCAGGAGGAAGGGGUUCCUGGGUCUUCGCACUGUGGCCCCUGCAGGUGGCCGUUGACUUCACAGCCUCCACUGGGGACCCUAGGAACAGCUGCUCCCUGCACUACAUCACCCCCUUCCAGCCCCACGAGUACUGCAGGCCCUGGCGGCUGUGGGUGAGACCUGCCAGGACUACGACAGGUGUGCCAGCCCAGCGCCCCCAGCCCACCGCCUCCCAGGCUCUGCGUGGGGCGUGGGUUAGCACCUGCCGGGCCCGAGAUGGGAGGUGGGGCCGCUCCCCAACCAUGGUCCCCUUGGUCCUUCACACAGACAUGGCGUCCAAAUCCCACCUCACAGACCGUGAACUGAGGCCGUGGCAGGGCGGAGCCCUCGCCUGGGAGGUGAUGGGGGCCUGCACGCUGGGUGGCUUCUUCACGGCUCUGGGCCUCAGUUUCCCCCAUGUGGCUCGGGGCGGGGCCUGGACCCCGUAGAGUUUCAUCCUGGUCUCCUGGCUCUGUCAGUAUCUCUCCAAAGUACCCGCACCCACCCCCAGGGAGAUCAGGGACCCUGGCUGAUGGGGCCGUCUCUCUUCCAGCGACAAGAGGCUCUCUGCUUUGGGGUUCGGAGCCCGGAUCCCUCCCAAGUGUGAGGUGUCCCAUGACUUUGCCAUCAAUUUCAACCCUGAGGAUGGUGAGCGUGAAGGUAGGAGCGCGAGGCACCCGGGGUGGGGCUGCAGCGGGGCUGGGCUCACCCCCCUCCCCCGCCGGAAUCCGGGGCGUGGAGAAA
rnacentral:lncRNA from 1 species